UACGUAGGGUGCGAGCGUUAACCGGAAUUACUGGGCGUAAAGCGUGCGCAGGCGGUUCGUUAAGUCCGAUGUGAAAGCCCCGAGCUUAACUUGGGAAUGGCAUUGGAAACUGGCGGGCUGGAGUGUGGCAGAGGGGGGUGGAAUUCCACGUGUAGCAGUGAAAUGCGUAGAGAUGUGGAGGAACACCGAUGGCGAAGGCAGCCCCCUGGGCCAACACUGACGCUCAGGCACGAAAGCGUGGGGAGCAAACAGG
rnacentral:rRNA from 1 species